GUAGGGCGGGCUGGGGGGGGAAAAGCGUGAAACCAAAGGGAAUGUUUACUUGUUCAGAAGUCUCUCUUACACGGAAGCACGCUGUUCCCUAACUCCUGGCUGAGCAGACUCCAGUUUGCCAAUUUCUGCUUUACAGCACACUUAACUCCUUGACAGAAUGGCAGACAAAAGAACAGCUGGUGCAAAGCAAUAGGGGGAUAAGGAGAGAGAAAAAAAAAAUAAACGUAUUGCCCCCCCAUCGCCAACAUCCAACAACUAUCACAUCAGUAGUAACCGUGGAACAAUCAGAAGUCACCAUGCGCAGGUCUAGCACCGAUGAAUCGACCUAUCACAGGAGUCCUUCUUUGGACAGCAAGGAUUACAGUUUUCCAAAUGGCGCCUUCCGUCGCUACAGCAGCAUGUAUGGCGGUCAGUUUGGGGCCACCAGCAACUCGUUUUUUGGAUUCCACACCAACCCGGGCCCUAAAGCCACCAAGGCUAAGUACACGUCCCCCAAGGGGAACAAGUACGUUGUCUUUUACCUGGAUCUCUCGUUUAUUUUUCUCCUAGAGCUGAAGAGGUGUAGCAUGGCUCAUAACUGCCUGCAGUGCAUCAAGUACCUAAUGUUUGUCUUCAACCUUCUCUUCUGGCUGGGAGGCUGCGGGAUCCUUGGAGUUGGUAUCUGGCUGGCUGUUACCCAAGGGAACUUUGCUACCCUCUCCUCUUCUUUCCCAUCCCUGUCGGCUGCCAACCUGCUGAUUGUCACAGGGACUUUUGUCAUGAUCAUCGGCUUCGUCGGCUGUAUAGGUGCCAUCAAAGAAAACAAGGGCCUCCUGCUGAGUUUUUUUAUCAUGCUGUUAAUUAUAUUCCUGCUGGAGCUCACCAUUGUGAUUCUGUUCUUCGUCUACACUGACAAGAUUGAUAAGUAUGCUCAGCAGGAUCUGAAAAAAGGGCUGCAUUUGUAUGGGACAGAUGGAAAUAUUGGCCUAACUAAUGCAUGGAGCAUCAUUCAAACAGAUUUCAGAUGCUGUGGGGUCUCGAACUACACCGACUGGUUUGAAGUGUACAAUACUACACGGGUGCCAGACUCGUGCUGCUUGGAAUUCAGCGAGAAUUGUGGACUCCACUCCCCGGGGACCUGGUGGAAAGCUCCUUGUUAUGAGACAGUGAAAAUAUGGCUCCAGGAAAACCUGCUCGCAGUGGGGAUCUUUGCCCUGUGCACAGCUUUGGUUCAGAUUCUUGGAUUGACCUUUGCAAUGACCAUGUAUUGCCAGGUAGUCAAGGCAGACACCUACUGCGCGUAGAAACCAUCUCAAGCCUCUUUGCUUCUCAAAAGGACAUAGGAGAAAGCUCCUUCAUGUUCAUUCAUCUGAUCUUUUUUCUAUCUAGUGUCACAACAAGCCUCCAAACUGUCUUAAGAAGGUUUUUGCAACCAGGAGCAGGUCAACUUCAGAAGUGUUUUUAGUCUCAUGUGUUCUGAAGUCAAGAGCUAAUCAGGAUCUGAGUAAUGAGAUCUGUCUGGUAAGGGAAAAAAGUCUAAGUGGACGUUGUGUCACUUAUUAAUUUGCAGUGGUAUAGAACCGAUAAGGGUGUGCGUGUAUAAUAUAUUCAUAGACACUUAUCAUUCUGAAGAGAGGUGAAAUAACCCUGCAUCUCCCCUCAGAAGAUGGAAGCUUUCUACCCCAUUUCACAUUCCAAGUGAACAAAUACUCAAAGGGAAAUAAUGAAGUAUUAUUUCUUGUAGGAGACACUGUCACUAUUACCUCUGGGGAAACAAGUAAUUACUUUCAGCUGUAUCUUCAUUUCUAUAAACAACUUGUGAGUAGGCUUUCUCUGUCACUCUCCUAUGGUUUUAUUUUUUCCAUUCCUGUUUCAAGUCAGUCUACCAGCAACUAGCACUCAUUUCUACACUUAAAGAGCUGUCAGCUGUUUCUUCAAUGAAUGUCAUUAAUUUACCCUGGGACAGUAUCAUCUGAGAUAGUAUACGGUUUGCCUUGUCAAAGAAACAUGUAUUACACAGUGCUUAGCUUAAGACUUGAGAUGUUUUCCUGCUAAACUACUUAUUUAUAUUAUCCAUGGAAAAUUGUUCCCAGUGGGAACUGGAGUCAACUUUCAAGCUUUUUUCUCCCUCCUUAUACAGGCUUGCUCAGUAGCAACACCUGUCCCUGCUGGAAUUUGCAAAACAAGCAUCAGUCACAACUCCUCUCUGCAGGAAAACAAAUUUCUGUGUAUGUGUUCCCCCACUGUCAUAAUUGAAGAGAAUGUGUGAAUUGUGCUUUGAGGGAAUUUUCAUUGAAUUGCAAGAAAACCUUUCAUCCAGCAAACUUCUAACCUGAGGGUAGGCCUAAUACAGCCUAUGGUGUUGUGCAAUGUAGACAUACAGCUUUGAGUGAUUCUGUCUGCUGGAUCAUGCUCCAUCUCGAUCCUGGUAGCCAGGGGCAGUAUCCAUUAGAGAAAGGUUGCUAUACUCCAUGGUAUUUUAUAGAUGUUCUGUACCACCCUUACCCUUCUGCCAUUACAUAACAAGUGAGAAAAUUGUGAUUUAAAUGAACCCUCUAUUUAACUCUGUCAAAUCCUGAGGUGGUGAUAUAAGUUAACAGGCUUGGCAAAGUUUUCAGAGAGCUGCAGCAUCAUGAACAGGGUUGCUGUGGUUGGAAGGAGGGGGCCUACCGAGAAGAACCAUCCUUCAGGCAAGAGCUAUGGUAUCUGCCCAAAGCAACACCAUGCGGCUCUGCAGCAACCCUGAGUAGUGGUAAUCGUGGUUGCUCGCCUUCUCCUCCUCUGACUUCCAAAGCCACGUGUAUGGAGUUUGGAUAUUUAGUAGCUUGGAAUCAACAUGCCUAAAACAAGAUGGGUGAAGUAAUCUCUUUUAUUGGCCCAAUAAAAGAUUUACUUCACCCACCUUGUUUCUCUAAAGAACACGUAUUCAUCCUUUAGUUACUACAGCUGGAGCAGAGUAUCCAGACUCUUAAUGGCUUAGUGCAGAUUCUUGCUAUAGUGUGGUUCACACACAAGAAAUAGGCUUCCUUACCACCUUUCUAGUGGGCACUGACAUCUAUCAAUCAACAUUAAUGGGCAUUUCACAAAUGCAGAAAACAAGAUGAUGAGGCCUUUAAGUCAAGCACCAAUAAAGAGGUCCAGGGUAUGUGUCACAAAUCAGGUGUUUGUGUGAAGUUACCUGGCAUGAUGCAGAAAUUCUUCCACAUGUGAGCAGGACUGAGACAAAUUCUGUUCUUAAAGCACAGUUUUUGUUUGGUGUGUUCCUCUAUUCCUGCCGCACCCUCCCACAUCUAGUCCAAAGUUGAAUUGUACAAUUAGCAUAAGUUCUUGCCCUGGCUCGUUAGAACAGCUCUACUCACAGGCAUUCCUCCUGAGAGCUCUAGGUUCUAUCUCUAAGGAGCAGAAUAAUGGAGUGAGGAAUGCAUUAACAAGUCAUCAAUUUCAGCUGAGCCACUGGGACUGUUGCCUGCAUGAUAAUUUUUAAUGACAGACGAGUCUAUUUGUAGCAAUCCCACUUACCGUUUUUAAAACAAUGCACCAUCCUCUGGCAGAGCUGGAUUGGAGGUUCCCUCAAAGGCUCUACAAAAUGGUCUCAAGGGUAGGGAGUACAACUCAUUCCUCAUGUGAAUCCCCUAGUUCACAUGCAGAGCCCAGUGGAGACUGCAAGAUUUUGGCCAAGUCCAUUGAAGGAAGGCAGGGAGAAAAGGUGGAAUGAUCUAGCCUUCAGUCAUUUUUUCUGAUUGUGCUAAAUCAUUUGCUACAGUUUGUGCUGCUUUACAAUUAUGUAAAUUGCCUCUCUGGUUUUUAGCCUCCUAGGAGAUAAAGCGUGAGCAUCUCUUUGUAAUUGGGGGCGUGUAAAGCCAGAAAGGCAUUAACAGCAAUGCAACAAGACUUUGAUAUUUGUCUAAGCUGGGUCUCCAGCAUGGUGCCAGUGCAGAUAUUGGUGAACUGGAAUCUGCAUUCGAUGCUAUUGACUAUUUUCACAUAAGCUUACAGACACUACCAAAAGAAUCUGACUUCAAACCACUGCCCCAUAUUACAAUCCACUUAAGCACUUCAGAUUUUUUUAAAAUGAGAUAUUCUGAGUAAGAGAACUGGUUGGGUAGUGUAUCUGUAACAACCACCACACCUUGUAAAAGACAUUUCCUUAGUAGACAUUUAACUUUAGACUGGUUCAUUACAAUCAUCAUAUAGUACACCAGGCACAUGUUAAAAGGCUCUAUGUCUUCGGAGCAGCACAGAAGUCAUUCCAAUUCCUCUCCUAAAUCAAUGAUUUUAUGGGUGGGAGGGGGGAGGGAGUAAUAAAAAGGAGGACUUUUAAAAUGUAAAACAGGACCAAAGCCAGGGAAUCCAGAGUUAAGGUUUAGUCUAUGUCCCCAGUUAAAAGAGUCAGGCCCUUUUUGAUUGAUUUUCACUGUACGAAGCCCAACUUUGAUCCUAUUAAAGUUAGUGGGACCAGGAUUUGGCUUUAAGUUUCUGGCUGCCAUACUUUUUUAGCUUUGCUAUCCCGUAUCAUAAUUAUUAAAUAUAUUGAUAAUACGGUUUUAUUUUCCUGUAGCUGUCCAGAGCAGCCAUCUUUUAUUGCCUAUUCAAUAGGAUUACUUAAUUCUAAUCCUGUAGCACAGACUCAAUAAAAUUCACCUCAGUUUCUGCUCUAUAUCUACCUGGCAAAAAACCCUGGACAUGGUAUUUCUUGAUUCUCUUUGGACCUAGAAAUAAUGGAUAGUAGUUAACUGCACAGAUGUUGUACAAAAACAUUAAUCUGGGAUCAGUAAAUGUGGUUGCUACAUAAAAUGCCUCUCAAAAACAAAUUAAAGUUCAUGCAAUUGAAUAUCUCAGGGGUUGUGACCCCCCCCAACCUUCCAACAUUUGAGAGUGGUCCCAGCUUGAUGGGAGGGAGCUACCAGCAUGAGGCAUUCCCGAUUAUAGAACAGCUGUUCUAUAAACAUGGCAUGAGAGAAAGUGGUAUCGCUAAGCUUAAACAAGUACUUUCGUUCACAACAGUAUUAAUGAAUUUUAUACACUGUACAUUAGAUUGUUCACAGUAAUGAUAUUGCCAUGGAAAAUUCUAUAUGGAGUUACAUUGUGAGUUCAGUUUGAAUCUCAUCUGUACAAUAUCCCAUUGGAUAGUUAUUUGUUACUUAGAUUUUGUCGUUGCAACAGAAGGAAUGAUACAGUUUUGUGCACCAUAUAGAGGACAACAACAUUUAAAAUAUACAUUUUUUAAAAGUUAUUAAAGUUUACAGCUGAAUGUCUUGAUUUCUUUAUAAUGUACAUACAUAUGCUGUAAUAUAUACAGUGGAUGUUUACAGACAUAUGUACACAUGCACUAGAAACUGCAUCGUAUGCUUCCAUUUUCUCAUCUUCCAGAGCCUGCCUUUAAUUUUUUAUCUAUUUUAUCCUAUCUAUUUUUUAUUGCCAAUUCCUCCAGGAAAGUGAAUGCCCAUUUCUUUGUUUAGGAGCAGAUUAUUUUAUAGAUUUCACAAACCAGUAUCCCUUUAAAAAGAUAAUGGGUUCAUGUCAGUGUACUUGUUUAUAGCCGCACUAAUCAUGGAUACACAAAUAGUUUUAUUCUGCUUGAUUUUUAAAUUUAGUUGAACAUGAUUGUGAAUCAAUUUUGAAACACAAGGGCUUUUUUUUUUUGGAGACAGAAGGAGGCUGUCAAUAAAGAUAAUGUUUGGCUAUGUGUUAAAAUGAAAAAUAGGUAUUGCCAUGGCAAAUCAAAAGAGAGGUCCAUCUAGUUGGGUAUCCUGCCUGAACCCAUGUCUGCACUAUGAAUGCUUUACCAAUAUAGGAAUAUUGGUAUACUAUACUGAUAAAGCACUCCUAGCAAGGACAACAAUGCUUUUAAUUUUUAUUCCAACCCCGCCCCCCGCAAAACAAGCUAUACCGGUAAAAGCGCUUUUGCCAGCACAGCCAUGUCAAUCAUAUAUCACACCUCUUCACCCUCAAUCCCCGACUGACACAACUGUGCUGGCAGAAAUCUGCAUUGUAGACAUUGCCAGGGAGUGGACACAGCAAACUGUUUCAGAGAAAGGUGCAAGAAACCUCAUAAUGGAGAAACUUGUCCUCAUGGGACAUUUCUAAGUAGAGCACAGGAUCUGGUCCAAGAGGUGAAUAUAGCUGGACCACUUGGUAAUAGUGACCAUGAUAUAAUUAAAUUUAACGUUCCUGUGGUGGGGAAACAGCAGCCCAACACUGUAGCAUUUAAUUUCAGAAAGGCAACUACACAAAACUGAGGAAGUUAGUUGAACAGAAAUUACAGUGCCAAAACUGAAAUCUCUGCAAGCUGCAUGGAAGCUUUUAAAAGACACCAUAAUAGAGGUCAACUUAACUGUAAACCCCAAAUGAAAAAACACAGAACCAAAAAAAAAAAAAAUGCCACUAUGGCAAAACAACGAAG